AUUGAACGCUGGCGGCAGGCCUAACACAUGCAAGUCGAACGAGUGGCGGACGGGUGAGUAAUGUCUGGGAAACUGCCCGAUGGAGGGGGAUAACUACUGGAAACGGUAGCUAAUACCGCAUACCAUCGGAUGUGCCCAGGUGGGAUUAGCUAGUCGGUGGGGUAACGGCUCACCUAGGCGACGAUCCCUAGCUGGUCUGAGAGGAUGACCAGCCAAACUGGAACGGAGACAGGGUCCAGAGCCCUACGGGAGGCAGAGGUGGGAAACAUUGCACAAGGGGCGAAAGCCGGAUGCAGCCAUGCCGCGGAGAGUAAGAAGGCCUUCGGGUUGUAAAGUACGUUCAGCGAGGAGGCGUUACUCGCAGAAAAAGCACCGGCUAACUCCGUGCCAGCAGCCGCGGUAAUUC
rnacentral:rRNA from 1 species